AAUACACUUAGUCACUUCCCAAUUCCCAUUUUUCAUUUCCCAAACCUAAAUAAAGAAUUAGAUUUAGGGUUCUUCGGUUCUUCCUUCUUCCUGUGCGAUUGCUGCGAGCCUGCGACUGCUGCGACUUAUCGUUGUGUUAAUCAAAAGACAACAUGCCAAAUACCAAAGCAUCUUAUCAUCGAGGAAACGUUUAUACUCUCUAUAAAAAUGGAUGGCAUUAAAAGCUUCACUUUCAGAGAAAUGAAUAUUGCGUUAUGUGAGGGUACUCCUAUUAAUGUUGAAGAAGAUUUGGAGUUUCUUGAGCAAAUUGAACUUGAUAUGGCAACGGAAGAGAAACUUGUAUUGUUGAAAGAGAUACUAGCAUUGUUGAUGCAUAGUUUGAACGAGUGUAGGUUCAACUAUGCCUCGUAGUCCUGAAGCUAGAUCGCCUAUUUGGGAAUAUUUUGAGCUAGUUAAAGUAAAUGAAGAAGCCCGCAAAGCAAAGUACCUUUAUUGUGGUCGAGUUUAUAAUUGUCAUCCAAAGUAUUAUGGCUGGCUUAGUGAAGCAUAUUAAGAAGUGUCUCAUGCCUCAUCCAGUGAUUCGUAUUUAAGACUUUAAAUAUCAUUUUAUAGACUUACUUUGUGGCAUGUGGGUUGUGACUAGUUUGCCACUAUUUUGUUGUUUGGUGAUGGUAUUUCUAGACUUAUUUUGGACUUUGGUAGCUGCUAGAUUUGCCAUUGUGUUAAACUGUUUUGGACUAGUUUGCCACUGCUGAACUGUGCGAUAUUUUGCUACUUAGGUGUUCUGUUUGCACUGAAGG